GUUCACAACAUGGCGACUGUUAUAAACGGACAGAAAUAUAAAAAUCAUAAAAUAAUGCGAAUUUCCAUAAAAAUUCCGAGUAAUACUUGUGAAGAUGAAUGGGUAAAUAAAGCACGGUGUUAUUUUGUGUCUCUGGCGCAAGAAUGAUCGACAAUAUUUUGAAUAAUUCAGGUAAGGAUGGCUUUAUUUCGUUCUCGUAUAGUGAUGUAGUCGUGCCGUGUGCCCUGUCUACCUGUCUGGUGAUAUAUUUUAUAAUACGUGAAGGCAUUUAUAUUUAAAUCUGCUGUUUAUACUUGUUUAGUCACUUUAGUGUAUUAAACUU
rnacentral:lncRNA from 1 species